GCGCGUCGGUCAUGAAGAUAGGGAAAAAUCAGGCCGCGAAGUGGUUUUCAAGGCGGGGCUUUGUGCGUCGCCUGGCAACGGACUGGUUUUUCCCACAGGCCGUGUGAGGCUGUCAACAUGGUCGCACUACAUAUGUAUUAAGCCUCAGUCGUCAGUUUUUCCGGAAGAGCAAAUGGUUUCCGGGUUUCUGUGUGGCGAAUUGGCGUCCAGGCUGUACCCUAUCGGGAACUUCCUGAACGGAGUGAGGGCCCCUAGUUCCUUUUUUGUUGAUGGUACCAAGAUUACUGGCCUUGGAUCCGUGAAUCUUAUUCUGGCGAACCAGUAGGACCUUCUGUUGUGAUAAUUCUGGUAGCAAAGAAGAAACAUGAUGGCGAUCAGCAGAAAGGAUGAAAACCGAUUUAAAAUCGCAACUUAUUUGUGUUGCCGCUAGAUGACAGCAUAUUGGAGGUCAUAUGGUUCUGGUUCAAACCAGGAGAACCGGCGUCAUCUUUAAAAAAUGGCAAUUCAGGUAGUAAACAGCUAUGUAAACAUGCAAACAUUUUUGCUCCGUUGUUUUUGAAAAUGUUUCUCUUGUUUUUUGCAUCUAUACUAACAAAUUUAGGAAGGUGAAUACCUGUUAUGAUAGCAAGCAAUGAUAAGUUGAACACAGAAAGUAAGCAAGUCAAUGCUCAACUUGUGCUUUGGAAAAUGCAAUCUUCUGAUUUUUCUAGGGUUAAAUGUCUCUGAAUUCUUCUUCAGAGCAAAGCAGAAAUAUUAUUUGUAAAUUCCAUGCUAGAGUGUUACUUUGCAAUGAGUCUCUCACAUAGAAUUGUGAGUAGACUCGAAAGGAUUGGCUGAACUUUUCAAGCCCAAGUGCACUAGUUGAGCUAUUACUAUUUAAGAUAGCUGUUCUUUUCAGCUAUAUCUAAGGGACUUAAUGGCUUAUCAACCUUUUUCACCUUGUAUUCAAUAUCAUGACUUCUGUUUGCAAAAUAUAUUUCCUUGUUUGAACCCCACAAAAC